AUUGAACGCUGGCGGCAGGCCUAACACAUGCAAGUCGAGCGGAUGAAGGGAGCUUGCUCCUGGAUUCAGCGGCGGACGGGUGAGUAAUGCCUAGGAAUCUGCCUGGUAGUGGGGGAUAACGUCCGGAAACGGGCGCUAAUACCGCAUACGUCCUGAGGGAGAUAGUGGGGGAUCUUCGGACCUCACGCUAUCAGAUGAGCCUAGGUCGGAUUAGCUAGUUGGUGGGGUAAAGGCCUACCAAGGCGACGAUCCGUAACUGGUCUGAGAGGAUGAUCAGUCACACUGGAACUGAGACACGGUCCAGACUCCUACGGGAGGCAGCAGUGGGGAAUAUUGGACAAUGGGCGAAAGCCUGAUCCAGCCAUGCCGCGUGUGUGAAGAAGGUCUUCGGAUUGUAAAGCACUUUAAGUUGGGAGGAAGGGCAGUAAGUUAAUACCUUGCUGUUUUGACGUUACCAACAGAAUAAGCACCGGCUAACUUCGUG
rnacentral:rRNA from 1 species